AUCCACGUGACGAGUCCCAAAUAGGACGAAAUUCACAUCCUGGAU
rnacentral:hammerhead_ribozyme from 1 species